ACUUUUUUAUUUAAAAACUAUAAAACAUGGUUCGUCAGUGCCAAAUUUGUAAGAAAUUGGACUAUUUAAGUCCUGGAACAACAUUCCACAGAUUAUGCUGCCAAAGUUUCCUGAAUACAAUUCCGACCACUCUGUAUAUCAAGAUAUCCCCCAUUACGUACUAGUUUUUCUUAAUAAUUUUCUAUACAUUUUCCAACGCCAAGAUGUACCAAGCGCAUACAAAUACAUCAAGCUUCAAACAAGCUUGCACGUUGACAGUAAUACCUACAGUAAUAUUGUAUUAUAUUAAUGUAAUAUUUUUGAACCAAUGUUCAAUAUUACUGUAGUAAUACUGUUUAUACUCAUGCCUUUUAUAUUUGUUUGAAUUUGGUGCAUAUUUCCAUUGAAUAAAGUAUAGUCACCAUUACCAUUAUUAUACUUACUCUAUAAUAAAGACAGUAACGAGUUAAA